ACGAAGGGGGCAAGCGUUACUCGGAAUUAUUGGGCGUAAAGCGUGCGCAGGCGGUUUCAUACGUUGAAAGUGAAAGCCUUUGGCUCAACCAAAGAAUUGCUUACAAAACGGUGGAACUAGAGUAUUAGAGAGGAUAGAGGAAUUCCUGAUGUAGGGGUGAAAUCCGUAGAUAUCAGGAAGAAUAUCGAAGGCGAAGGCAUCUAUCUGGCUAAAUACUGACGCUGUUGCACGAAAGCGUGGGGAGCAAACAGG
rnacentral:rRNA from 1 species